CAGCUCAAAUUUAAAAUCUGGCAGUGUUUUGCUGUCCGAGUUGUAAUCUAGAGAAGUGCUGCCCGUGCUGGACCAUGUACAAGUCUCCUGGAAUGGAGCGUCACAGAGGGUGAGAAUCCCGUCUUUGACAUGGACUACCAGUGCAUUUGUGGUGUGCUCUCAAAGAGUCGAGUUGUUUGGGAAUGCAGCUCUAAAUGGGUGGUAAACUCCAUCUAAAGCUAAAUAUUGGCGAGAGACCGAUAGCGAACAAGUACCGUGAGGGAAAGAUGAAAAGAACUUUGGAAAGAGAGUUAAACAGUAUGUGAAAUUGUUGAAAGGGAAACGCUUAAAGUCAGUCGUGUCGGCCAGGGAUCAACUCAGCUUUCUCUGCUGGGUGUACUUCCUGAUCUGAUGGGCCAACAUCAGUUUUGACUGCUGGAGAAGGGCAGAGGGAAUGUGGCACCUUCGGGUGUGUUAUAGCUCUCUGUCAGAUGCAGUGGUUGGGACUGAGGAAAGCAGCAUGCCGCAAGGCCGGGUCGUUUCGACCACGUUCAUUGCUGA
rnacentral:rRNA from 1 species